rnacentral:rRNA from 1 species
GGGUGACAGGUGGUGCAUGGUUGUCGUCAGCUCGUGUCGUGAGAUGUUGGGUUAAGUCCCGCAACGAGCGCAACCCUCGACCCUAGUUGCCAGCAUUCAGUUGGGCACUCUAAGGUGACUGCCGGCUAAAAGUCGGAGGAAGGUGGGGAUGACGUCAAAUCAUCAUGCCCCUUAUGACCUGGGCUACACACGUGCUACAAUGGGCGGUACAAAGGGUCGCGAACCCGCGAGGGGGAGCCAAUCCCAAAAAGCCGCUCUCAGUUCGGAUUGCAGGCUGCAACUCGCCUGCAUGAAGCCGGAAUCGCUAGUAAUCGCGGAUCAGCAUGCCGCGGUGAAUACGUUCCCGGGCCUU